rnacentral:rRNA from 1 species
CAUCCCAGUUCGGAUUGCAGGCUGCAACCCGCCUGUAUGAAGUUGGAAUCGCUAGUAAUCGCGGAUCAGCAUGCCGCGGUGAAUACGUUCCCGGGCCUUGUACACACCGCCCGUCACACCAUGAGAGUCGGGAACACCCGAAGUCCGUAGCCUAACCGCAAGGAGGGCGCGGCCGAAGGUGGGUUCGAUAAUUGGGGUGAAGUCGUAACAAGGUAGC